rnacentral:rRNA from 1 species
UACGUAGGCAGCGAGCGUUGUUCGGAGUUACUGGGCGUAAAGGGUGUGUAGGCGGUUGUUUAAGUUUGGUGUGAAAUCUCCCGGCUCAACUGGGAGGGUGCGCCGAAUACUGAAUGACUUGGAGUGUGGGAGAGGUGAGUGGAAUUCCUGGUGUAGCGGUGAAAUGCGUAGAUAUCAGGAGGAACACCGGUGGUGUAGACGGCUCACUGGACCAUAACUGACGCUGAGACACGAAAGCGUGGGGAGCAAACAGG